rnacentral:misc_RNA from 1 species
GUUGACAUUGGCAAUGAAUGUUGGUAGUGUUACGAAUCCAGAUCCAAGCAUCCAUAGCCUGCCACCAGAUCCGCGCUGGAUCAUGGGAUUAUUCUUAUUGCAGCGCUAUCUAAAUUCCCACCUUGCCUUAGUGGUCGGUGGGAUGGCGCUAGUCCUUGGUAGUUUUUAUGUUUUCUACUUAAGUCAAAGCCAGAAGAGACAACAAACUUUAUAGCGCAGGGAUUCCCACUAUGGAAGUCGUUCUCUUGAAAAGAAUAAAUGUCGUGCCAAUGUCGUGGUUAUGACAUUGUGAUUUUGGCUUAUCUUCCUAUAAUGGG